rnacentral:lncRNA from 1 species
CAGUCACCAACCGUUCUUGAAUGGUUACGCGCAUGCGCGAUAGCGAAUAAUUAUGCGCAGUAACACAGUUUUCGUUACUGCGCAGACUCGUAACCAUUCAAGGACGGUUUAUUUUCCGACUUUACACGAUUUUCAGUAGUCGAGUAGUCGAGUUUCACGAUUUUUGCUUCACUUCAUCUGGCAACCCUUUGUUGUGUUUGUGUUUGUAUCAAUGAACGUUUGUAGUAUUCAUUUUUAUCAUUAUUGUUAAUGUGAUCUAAUCAGUUAAAAAUAUUUAAAUUCGUUCUGGAUUUGUGUUAAAUUAAGUAGCUUUCAAAAGAUAAUGUCUAACGAAGAUUUACAAAGAGAACUAGAAUGCCCAAUUUGUUUCAACUAUUUACAAAUCCCGAUACGGAUGUGUAAAACAGGUCACAGCAUAUGUGAUACGUGCAGAAGCAAGUUAUUCGUUUGUCCUAUAUGCGAAUCAGGGUUUUCCGAGGGAUCUAAUAAGUCACUCGAAAGCAUAAUUCCUUUGCUUAAGUUUCCUUGCAAAUUUCGUGAUAAAGGAUGCCAAGAUCUUUUGUUUCAUGUUGAGAGAUUAGCACACGAAAUUGAGUGCCCACGCCAAGGAAUAAGGUUGGUGUAGUAAUAGGCCAU